rnacentral:rRNA from 1 species
UACGUAGGGGGCUAGCGUUGUCCGGAAUCAUUGGGCGUAAAGCGCGUGUAGGCGGUCCGGUAAGUCCGCUGUGAAAGUCGGGGGCUCAACCCUCGAAUGCCGGUGGAUACUGUCGGGCUAGAGUGCGGAAGAGGCGAGUGGAAUUCCUGGUGUAGCGGUGAAAUGCGCAGAUAUCAGGAGGAACACCAAUUGCGAAGGCAGCUCGCUGGGACGUAACUGACGCUGAGGAGCGAAAGCAUGGGGAGCGAACAGG